GAAUUUUUUAUCUCCUGGCGGAGACGGAGAUGGGAGGGGGGCGGGACCUCGUUUAGAAGAUUGCGCUCCCUAGCUUGGCAGGAAAAGUUGUUUGUUUUUUUGGCGUUUCUGUGCAUCUUACGGAGGGUCCCCAUCAUCCCCGCGGGGCGCACAAGGAGUUGUGAAAAGUACCGCACAACUGGCCACCGGAAUAAUUCAUCCCCUCCACCUUCUCGUUAGCGCCUCCCACUUCUCUUUUUAUAGCAGUUUCUUUCUCUCGAAAAAUCUCAGGUUACUUGACUGGGAGUUCUCAGACCUCCAGUUUCAGCCCUGCCCUCAGCCUCCAGUCGUUGAGAGAGAGACACCCAGCCCCAGCAAUCGGAUUGGGCAGCCCGCCUUGACACACCACUGUGCUGAGUGCUUGAAGACGUGUUUCACCAGAUGGUUGGGGUUAGCGUGUGUCAUCACAUUCGAGUGGGGAUUAGGAGUAGGAAGGCUGCCUUGCCGGAGCUGUGUGGUCUUCUCCAAGGGAGAAUUGCGGGCAAGAGAACUCCUUUGCUCCGGGGAGAAGAGGAGGAAUUCGUUUUCCGCAGCCACGAGAAAAGCAGUGUUUUCAGGUGCUGACGGCCAGCCCCAUCAUCUGAAGAAGGUGAAUUUGGCGAAUGACAUGCAGGUUCUCCAAGACAGAGUAAUCACAGAAAAUCGUCAAAGGACCCACUCUGCAGAUGUCCUGAACACUUCUGACUACAAUUGAUUCUUCAACCGGGAUACCUAAUUCCAGGUAUUAGCUCUUGUCAGAAAGCUUUUACAUCCGAGCUCUGUGCUGGAAAUUCU
ensembl:lncRNA